rnacentral:lncRNA from 1 species
GCCUAAACACAUAUUUUCCACUUUGCAAAAUUGCCAACAGACCCUACCUCUUCCCCUUCUUCUCCUCCCCGUAUAUCACCUCCCUCUUCCGUACACCUUCCAUUUCCAGCCACCACCCUUCAUCCCUCGCCUGCUGUGAGCUGUCCUUGACGUCCCCAACUCGUUUCCAACAUCCUUUCUGCCUGCAGCAGACGAGGAAGAGGCACUUGAGAGGAGGAAAGCUUCCCUCCUCGCUGUCACCUUCGGAUCAGCCUCCUACUGCCGCCCUUUGCUCCACCUGACAUCGGAAAUAGCACCCUCACCCUCCAAAGCCUUCGAACCAAGCCUCCCCGCCUCUAUCGUCAUAUGUAGCUUCCGUAUAGCCUUGUUGGAGCAUAAUUAUUUUCUCUUCAAUCUAGUGUUUUCUGGUAAGAGUUAGGCUGUAAAUUUUGAUAUUUUUGGACUCGGUGCGUCUCAAGCUUGGUGUAGUCACCUCCAAAUUUGAAUUUCGACACCGUUAGUUAGUGAUAUCGGCUUUCAGAUUUUGGUGUUUUUCGAACAUUUAAAACUUUAGACUUUUAACUCGGUAAAAAUUUAUUUGGACUCAAUAAAUUAUUUAAAAAUUUAAAAUAUAUUAACACCAUUAUUUACUAACUAUAAAUAAUUAGUUAAUUAAUUAGUGUAAUUAAUAAUUUGUUUGGUUUUAUAAUAAUUAUGACUAUAAAUAAUUAAAUUUAUGAGUUGGAUUGAGAAAUAAAUAUAAAUGUCAAUCUAUUUAUUAUUAAUUAUGAAUUAUAUUAUGUUGCAGAGUUAGAAAAAUAAUACAACUAUGGGUGACUUGACUCCUAUUAAAUAUUUGAUGAAUAUUAGAAGUGCUUUUAGCAGGUUUUGGACCCAUUAUACAGGGGAUAAAUGUAUAUUUUUUACGGAAGGUUUUUGCCGAAUUUUUGAUAGAAUUUCAAGUGAAAAUUCUUAUUCAGUCAAAUCUUAGGAUUAUAGGACUAGGUUAAUUAUGAAAUAUUUUUAUUGAUUGAAUUAUUUCCAUGAAUAGAUAAUCCGACGAUUCAGCCCAUUCCAUCCGAGGCGUAGGAGCAACUUUAGGGAGUCGUUAGAACUGUG